GGUUAAGCGACUAAGCGUACACGGUGGAUGCCCUGGCAGUCAGAGGCGAUGAAGGACGUGCUAAUCUGCGAAAAGCGUCGGUAAGGUGAUAUGAACCGUUAUAACCGGCGAUGUCCGAAUGGGGAAACCCAGUGUGAUUCGUCACACUAUCGUUAACUGAAUACAUAGGUUAACGAGGCGAACCGGGGGAACUGAAACAUCUAAGUACCCCGAGGAAAAGAAAUCAACCGAGAUUCCCCCAGUAGCGGCGAGCGAACGGGGAGCAGCCCAGAGUCUGAAUCAGCUUGUGUGUUAGUGGAACGGUCUGGAAAGUCCGACGGUACAGGGUGAUAGUCCCGUACACCAAAAUGCACAGGCUGUGAACUCGAAGAGUAGGGCGGGACACGUGGUAUCCUGUCUGAAUAUGGGGGGACCAUCCUCCAAGGCUAAAUACUCCUGACUGACCGAUAGUGAACCAGUACCGUGAGGGAAAGGCGAAAAGAACCCCGGCGAGGGGAGUGAAAAAGAACCUGAAACCGUGUACGUACAAGCAGUGGGAGCACCUUCGGGUGUGACUGCGUACCUUUUGUAUAAUGGGUCAGCGACUUAUAUUCUGUAGCAAGGUUAACCGUAUAGGGGAGCCGCAGGGAAACCGAGUCUUAACUGGGCGUUAAGUUGCAGGGUAUAGACCCGAAACCCGGUGAUCUAGCCAUGGGCAGGUUGAAGGUUGGGUAACACUAACUGGAGGACCGAACCGACUAAUGUUGAAAAAUUAGCGGAUGACUUGUGGCUGGGGGUGAAAGGCCAAUCAAACCGGGAGAUAGCUGGUUCUCCCCGAAAGCUAUUUAGGUAGCGCCUCGUGAAUUCAUCUUCGGGGGUAGAGCACUGUUUCGGCUAGGGGGUCAUCCCGACUUACCAACCCGAUGCAAACUACGAAUACCGAAGAAUGUUAUCACGGGAGACACACGGCGGGUGCUAACGUCCGUCGUGAAGAGGGAAACAACCCAGACCGCCAGCUAAGGUCCCAAAGUCAUGGUUAAGUGGGAAACGAUGUGGGAAGGCACAGACAGCCAGGAUGUUGGCUUAGAAGCAGCCAUCAUUUAAAGAAAGCGUAAUAGCUCACUGGUCGAGUCGGCCUGCGCGGAAGAUGUAACGGGGCUAAACCAUGCACCGAAGCUGCGGCAGCGACACUAUGUGUUGUUGGGUAGGGGAGCGUUCUGUAAGCCUGCGAAGGUGACCUGUGAGGGUUGCUGGAGGUAUCAGAAGUGCGAAUGCUGACAUAAGUAACGAUAAAGCGGGUGAAAAGCCCGCUCGCCGGAAGACCAAGGGUUCCUGUCCAACGUUAAUCGGGGCAGGGUGAGUCGACCCCUAAGGCGAGGCCGAAAGGCGUAGUCGAUGGGAAACAGGUUAAUAUUCCUGUACUUGGUGUUACUGCGAAGGGGGGACGGAGAAGGCUAUGUUAGCCGGGCGACGGUUGUCCCGGUUUAAGCAUGUAGGCUGAUUGUCCAGGCAAAUCCGGAUAAUCAAGGCUGAGGUGUGAUGACGAGGCACUACGGUGCUGAAGUAACAAAUGCCCUGCUUCCAGGAAAAGCCUCUAAGCAUCAGGUAACAUCAAAUCGUACCCCAAACCGACACAGGUGGUCAGGUAGAGAAUACCAAGGCGCUUGAGAGAACUCGGGUGAAGGAACUAGGCAAAAUGGUGCCGUAACUUCGGGAGAAGGCACGCUGGUGUGUAGGUGAAGUCCCUGCGGAUGGAGCUGAGACCAGUCGAAGAUACCAGCUGGCUGCAACUGUUUAUUAAAAACACAGCACUGUGCAAACACGAAAGUGGACGUAUACGGUGUGACGCCUGCCCGGUGCCGGAAGGUUAAUUGAUGGGGUUAUCCGUAAGGAGAAGCUCUUGAUCGAAGCCCCGGUAAACGGCGGCCGUAACUAUAACGGUCCUAAGGUAGCGAAAUUCCUUGUCGGGUAAGUUCCGACCUGCACGAAUGGCGUAAUGAUGGCCAGGCUGUCUCCACCCGAGACUCAGUGAAAUUGAACUCGCUGUGAAGAUGCAGUGUACCCGCGGCAAGACGGAAAGACCCCGUGAACCUUUACUAUAGCUUGACACUGAACAUUGAGCCUUGAUGUGUAGGAUAGGUGGGAGGCUUUGAAGCGUGGACGCCAGUCUGCGUGGAGCCAACCUUGAAAUACCACCCUUUAAUGUUUGAUGUUCUAACGUUGGCCCCUUAUCGGGGUUGCGGACAGUGUCUGGUGGGUAGUUUGACUGGGGCGGUCUCCUCCCAAAGCGUAACGGAGGAGCACGAAGGUUAGCUAAUCCUGGUCGGACAUCAGGAGGUUAGUGCAAUGGCAUAAGCUAGCUUGACUGCGAGCGUGACGGCGCGAGCAGGUGCGAAAGCAGGUCAUAGUGAUCCGGUGGUUCUGAAUGGAAGGGCCAUCGCUCAACGGAUAAAAGGUACUCCGGGGAUAACAGGCUGAUACCGCCCAAGAGUUCAUAUCGACGGCGGUGUUUGGCACCUCGAUGUCGGCUCAUCACAUCCUGGGGCUGAAGUAGGUCCCAAGGGUAUGGCUGUUCGCCAUUUAAAGUGGUACGCGAGCUGGGUUUAGAACGUCGUGAGACAGUUCGGUCCCUAUCUGCCGUGGGCGCUGGAGAAUUGAGGGGGGCUGCUCCUAGUACGAGAGGACCGGAGUGGACGCAUCACUGGUGUUCGGGUUGUCAUGCCAAUGGCACUGCCCGGUAGCUAAAUGCGGAAGAGAUAAGUGCUGAAAGCAUCUAAGCACGAAACUUGCCCCGAGAUGAGUUCUCCCUGAGACUUUAAGUCUCCUGAAGGAACGUUAAAGACGAUGACGUUGAUAGGCCGGGUGUGUAAGCGCAGCGAUGCGUUGAGCUAACCGGUACUAAUGAACCGUGAGGCUUAACCUU
rnacentral:rRNA from 1 species